rnacentral:tRNA from 1 species
GAGGAAGGCCUAAGGCAAUAAGUACUGCUAACACUUAUAUCCAUGGUUAAAUCCCACGGCUUCCUUA